GACAGAGGCCCCAAGCGUUUAGGCGGAAUCACUGGGCUUAAAGCGUGUGUAGGCGGACGCCUAAGUGUCUUGUGAAAUCCCACGGCUCACCCGUGGAACUGUGUGCAUACUGGGCGUCUUGGGCCAACUAGGGGCAGCCGGAACAAGCGGUGGAGCGGUGAAAUGCGUAGAUAUCGCUUGGAACGCCGAAGGUGAAAACAGGCUGCUGGGGUUGCGCCGACGCUGAGACACGAAAGCCAGGGGAGCAAACGGG
rnacentral:rRNA from 1 species